AAAAGGGGGACGGGUAAUCUGGCACACCAUACAAAUUGAUGGUGUGCCAGAUUCACCUAUAGGCGGCGAAUUUGGCACAAUCAUGACUUCUCAUUACAUGUCGUAAAAGGACGCAUACUAUGAUGCGUGUGCCAGAUUCCCCGAUGCCAAAAAUUUUUUGGAAAUUA